rnacentral:miRNA from 1 species
GCAGGUACGGGCAGGUGGAGUGGAGGGCUUUGGGCUUGAAGCAGCUCUGGUGUUAAAUGCCCCUUUAUGGGCUCCUGCUUACUCUC